ensembl:lncRNA
CUUAAGCUCAUCAGCAAGCAACCACAUAACAGGCUUAAUGGGUUCAUCACGGUGUACUAAUGGAAACCUUAGCAUUUGUGUUACACAGACACACACGGGCCUACACAGACGCGCCUUUAUGUCAAGUCAUCUCUGCCCUCUGCGACCUCUCUGAGGUCAGGUGUUCUUUCAAAGGCAGAGUGGGUCUUUGCACCAUGUCCCGAUCACGGCUGCAUGGCUUUCAGCAGGUGGACAAGCCCCCACCAUUCUCUAUCAAUGAAACGAUGCUGCGUUGCAGAGGAAGAGGAGCCACAUCGCGGCAGGCGGCCUGGUGAAACAGCUGACGUCGGCUGUUUCUCAGUGCA